CCUACGGGGGGCAGCAGUGGGGAAUAUUGCGCAAUGGGCGCAAGCCUGACGCAGCGACGCCGCGUGAGGGAUGAAGGUCUUCGGAUCGUAAACCUCUGUCAGCAGGGAAGAACGGUCACUGUGCUAAUCAGCAGUGAAUUGACGGUACCUGCAAAGGAAGCACCGGCUAACUCCGUCCCAGCAGCCGCGGUAAUACGGAGGGUGCGAGCGUUAAUCGGAAUUACUGGGCGUAAAGCGCUCGUAGGCGGGUUGUCAAGUCAAUGGUGAAAUCCCCGGGCUCAACGGGGGAACUGCCUUUGAAACUGGCAAACUUGAGUGUGUGAGAGGAUGGUGGAAUUCCAGGUGUAGGGGUGAAAUGCGUAGAUAUCUGGAGGAACAUCAGUGGCGAAGGCGACUAUCUGGCACGUAACUGACGCUGAGGAGCGAAAGCGUGGGUAGCAAACAGGAUUAGAUACCCGGGUAGUC
rnacentral:rRNA from 1 species